UCGUACGGGCCGCAAGGCCAGUGGCGCAAGGGUGAGUAAGGCGACGGUAACCCACCCCAUGAUUGGGGAUAGCCGCGGGAAACCGCGGGUAAUCCCCAGCGACGUCCCCGGGGGGCCUCCCCCGGGGACCAAAGCUCCGGCGUCGUGGGACGGGCCGUCGUGGUAUUAGGUCGUUGGCGGGGUAACGGCCCACCAAGCCGGCGAUGCCUACCGGGCGUGCGAGCGUGGCCCGGCACACUGGGACUGAGACACUGCCCAGACUCCUACGGGAGGCUGCAGUCGAGAAUCUUCGGCAAUGGGCGCAAGCCUGACCGAGCGACGCCGCGUGGAGGACGAAGGCCUUCGGGUUGUAAACUCCUGUCGAGGGGGAGGAAGGCGCCAGCUUGACCGAACCCUGGAGGAAGCACGGGCUAAGUUCGUGCCAGCAGCCGCGGUAAGACGAACCGUGCGAACGUUAUUCGGAAUCACUGGGCUUAAAGCGCGUGUAGGCGGGACGGCACGUCGGUCGCUGAAAGCCCCCGGCUCAACCGGGGAAGGGGCGCCGCAACGACCGCCCUGGAGGGACGUAGGGGGACCUGGAACUUCCGGUGGAGCGGUGAAAUGCGUUGAGAUCGGAAGGAACGCCCGUGGCGAAAGCGAGGUCCUGGACGUCUGCUGACGCUGAGACGCGAAAGCCAGGGGAGCGAACGGGAUUAGAUACCCCGGUAGUCCUGGCCGUAAACGAUGGGCACUGGGUAGGUGGCUCGCCGAU
rnacentral:rRNA from 1 species